AAUUCCAAUAGAAGAACAGUGGGUGACUUUGUAGAUGCUGAACAUGUACAUGUGGCAUGUCGGUGGUGGAUAUUUGGCAUUGCAGAUUGUUGCCACAUCAGCAAGAAAGUAGUAGGAUCUGAUAUUUUGGGAAAUUGAUGGACUACCUACAUUACAAUAGUCCUACUACUUUUUUGUAAUGACCUCUAAACCUACAAUAAAGAGGUAAGAAACCUAGCCCCAUUUCAAUUUUUCUUUCUUCCAAAAAUGAUCAGACAUGCCAU
rnacentral:lncRNA from 1 species